rnacentral:rRNA from 1 species
AGACAAUAUGAAGGUCAGGCUGAAGACCUUACCCGAUUAGCUGAGAGGUGGUGCAUGGCCGUCGUCAGUUCGUACUGUGAAGCAUCCUGUUAAGUCAGGCAACGAGCGAGACCCACGUCCACAGUUGCCAGCAUACCCUCCGGGGUGAUGGGUACACUGUGGAGACCGCCGCUGCUAAAGCGGAGGAAGGAGUGGGCAACGGUAGGUCAGUAUGCCCCGAAUCUCCCGGGCUACACGCGGGCUACAAUGGUUGGUACAAUGGGCAUCUACCCCGAAAGGGGAAGGAAAUCUCUUAAAGCCAAUCGUAGUUCGGAUUGAGGGCUGCAACUCGCCCUCAUGAAGCUGGAAUCCGUAGUAAUCGCGUUUCAACAGAACGCGGUGAAUACGUCCCUGCUCCUU